UUGUUGUCCAUUUAUGCCUUUCUUCAUUAAAGCCCACACUUUACUUGCACGUUGUGCUUAAAGCCCCAACAGACCUUAGAGUGUUUUUGUGCUUUUCCCUUUAAUAACACUGCUGUAACCUUCUUAAACUAGGCGAUAUAAACAGCUAAAUACAGCAAAAAUAAAACUGAAUUCAUGUAUACAAAGACAGUCCAGACGAAACAAGAUCCUUAUUUAGCAUAGACAGGGCUUAAAGCAACAA
rnacentral:lncRNA from 1 species